rnacentral:misc_RNA from 1 species
CCCACUCCGCAUACGUGCACACACCUAUACGCCCUUCGUUGCUCACAUCUUCACUGCUUUGUGGUCCUCAUGCGUCGACUGGCACUGCGCCGCGCACCACGCUGCAGUCAUGCCACCCUGUGCAGCAGUCGCGGAAGCGGCAGCGUCUUGAGGCGCCAGGCAUCGGCGCUAUUAUCGGCGACCGCCGUCUCUCCGCCAUGCCUCUCUACCACCAGCACCACCACCUCGUCGCAGAGUCUCGCCACGCCGCGCCGCUGUUACAUGCCGCUUCCCCAAAACCAAGAGGACUUCUCGGCCUACGCGGAGAUCGAUCUGCCGACGGAGACGCGCAUAGACGCGAUUCGGCGCACGGGCAUCGCGAGCCAGGAGUGGGUGGCGUGCGAGAAGGUGCACGGCACAAACUUCGCCAUCUACCUCAUCAACGAAAGCGAGGUGCGAUUCGCGAAGCGCAGCGGCAUCAUGGACCCGAGCGAGAACUUCUUCGGCUACCACCUCCUCAUCGACGACUUCACGGCGCAGGUCCGCGCGUUGUGUGCGCUGCUGAAGCGCAAGUACGGCGUGACGGGCCGCAUGGGCCGUGUCGUGCUGCACGGGGAGCUGUUCGGUGCCAAGUACAAGCAUCCGCUGGUGCCCAAGAGUACCAAGUGGUGCACGCUGCCGAAUAAGAAGCGAAUUCCGAUCUCGGGGGUGGAGAUACAGAGCGAGCCGUUCCCGCAGUACAGCCCGGAGCUGCACUACUUCGCAUUCGACGUCAAGUACUCCGUCUCGGGUGCCGAGGAGGAUGUGGUGCUGCUGCCCUUCGACGACUUCACGGAGGUGUGCUCGCAGGUGCCGAAUCUCCUGUACGCGAAGCCGCUGGUGCGCGGCACGCUGGAUGAAUGCCUCGCCUUUGACGUGGAGAACUUCAUCACACCGCUGCCCGCGCUGCUCGGGCUGGGCAACUACCCGCUCGAAGGCAACCUCGCCGAGGGUGUCGUCAUCCGCCACGUGCGCCGCGGCGAUCCGGCGGUGGAGAGCAGCGGGGUCUCGACAAUCAUCAAGCUGCGCUGCUCUUCCUUCAUGGAGCUCAAGCACCCCGGCAAGCAGCAGGAGCUGAAGGCGACGUUCCUCGACACCGUGCGUGCCGGCGCGCUGCAGCGCGUGCGCAAAGGCAAGAAGGUGACGGUGUUGGCGGACUCGAUGCUGCCGAAGCUGGAGGCGGCCGCGAACGCGCUGCUGCUGAACAACGUCAGCGAGGGUCGUCUGAGCAACGUGCUGUCGAAGAUCGGCCGCGAGCCGUUGCUGACCGGCGAAGUGAAGCAGGAAGAUGUCGUGCUGAUGCUCGCGCAGGACGCCCUGAAGGACUUCCUGAAGGAGACGGACCCGGUGGUGCUGAACACGUCGCUGUCGUUUCGCAAGACGCUGAUCCGCAGCGUGUACUUCGCGGCGGAAGAGCUGCUGCAGGGCGAAUGGAAGCGCGUCAUGGACCGGCUAAAGGCGUCGCAGACGGAGAUCGACGCCGCGAUUGCCGCGCAGGAGAAGGCAGAGGCGCAGUGAAGCUGUUGCUGUCGCUCUGUGGCAAGCCGGUAUGCGUCUCCUUGAUGAAUUUGUGUGUGUGCGCGCGCGCUCAGCAGCCCCUCCUGCUGCUGGAUAGCGUGGGGGAGGGGGAGGGGAAGCGAACGUACCCCCGCGCGGAUGCAAGACGGCGCGUGGCUGCCGUCAAACAGAGGAGCCGUCUCUACCACUAUUUUGCGCUGCUGCCUCUUCGCGGCGGCGCUUGCAUGCUGCACCAUAUAC